rnacentral:rRNA from 1 species
GUAGGUGGCAAGCGUUGUCCGGAAUUACUGGGUGUAAAGGGAGCGUAGGCGGGAUGUCAAGUCAGAAGUGAAAAUUAUGGGCUCAACUCAUAACCUGCUUUUGAAACUGAUAUUCUUGAGUGAAGUAGAGGCAAGCGGAAUUCCUAGUGUAGCGGUGAAAUGCGUAGAUAUUAGGAGGAACACCAGUGGCGAAGGCGGCUUGCUGGGCUUUUACUGACGCUGAGGCUCGAAAGCGUGGGGAGCAAAC